rnacentral:lncRNA from 1 species
GCGGUUCAGUAAAAUGUUUAUAUUGUUGGUGGUUGAGUUGUUGUUGAUAUGCUCUAUCACUAUGAUGUUUAUGGUUUAUGAAAUUUUAGGUCGAGUUAAAGUGACUCCAUUUAAAAUUGGGUUGGGUGAUCAUACUUUUUUGCCAAUAUGCUUAAUAUUUUUAAAUACACAGCUUAUUGUGAUUUUUUUUUCAUAUACCAUAUGUUAAAAUUCGAAUACAUUAGUCUUCCAAAAAUUGAAGACAACUUAUUAUACAAAUAUACUGAAAUUAUACCUGAAAAUUCUUAACUAAUUCUCUUUUGAAUAUUUAUUAUAAAAACUUUUUUAAAGUUUUAGGAAAAUAUAUAUUUAUUUAUUGAUAGUUUGUAAUAGAUCUAAUAAUCAGCUCAUUUCCUUUAUGAUUGCGACUGCCAAUUCGUCAUAAGCAGUUUCCCAAGCAACACUCAACUCCUCACUCCAUUUAUCACCAACAACUUCUUUGAUUGUUUUGAGCAAUGCUUCUUUCACAACCUAUAAAACAAAAAUAUCUUUAAUUUUCUACACUCUUAUGUUUAUGAACAUGACCUAUAAUAUAUGAAGUUAUACAUAUUUUUAUCAAUGAAAAUGUAAUAUGUCACACAAAAACAUAUUGAAAUUGAACUUCAUAUGUUUUACGUUAAUUAUUUAAAUUUAUUAUAUAUUGAUGUGUUACCAAACAAGACAUUCUCAGACAUUUAAAUUUAAGAAAGCAUUUUUUAUGAUAUUCAUACCGUAAAAUGAGGACCAACAACCCCCUUUUGGGUGUGAACAAUCCCCAAUGUGGAAUCUCCCAAUACAACUUCUCCUUUUGCUUGGAGUUGAACGGCAGCAUCACGCACCUAAAAGUAAAUAUAUAUUAUGAAAUGAUAGUUAUAAUAAGAAAAAAUGUCAACAAUAAAAAAGUUGAAAUAAUGUAAUUGGAUACAAUUGUUUGAACUUUGAACCAUGUCAAAUUGUAUUUUAUCUAGAAAAAUAGACAUUCGCCAUCAAAUAUUUUAUUAGGGAAAUUCAUCAUUAAAUAUUUAUAUUACAUUGUUUUUAAAUAUUGAAAAUAAAAUAUUAUUCGAAUAUAGUAUUGAUUUUGGUAUUUACAUUAUGAGUAUUAACAAGGGUUUAGAGAUUUCAAUAUGAUAGAUCAAAAGAAGAGCAAACAAUGUUUUAGGUAAUACCACAAUUGUUGUUAAUAAUUUUUCUUCCUUAAAUUUUCACAUCAUUCUAUAUGUAUUUUAUAAUUUAAGUUGUAUGUCUUUCUAUUUGAAUAGUAUAACAAUCUUUUGUUGUUUUUAUAUUCAUAUACAACAAAGCAUGAAUUCAACAUUAAUAUUAAAAAGUGAUUUGUUGACGACACUUCUUUCUUAAUCAUAACCAUUGUUUGAGAAGUUGUAGGCAUAUGAUGUAUUAGUAGGUUAAAGUAUACUUUGUUUUUUUGGAUUAAUGACCAUGAUUUUGUAUUUUAUGGUCUAAAAUGUAUUUUCUCUCUUGACAAAUUUCAUUUGUGUUUCCUUGUAUAAUAUGAAAGUGCAAAAACUGUUAUGAUUGUUAUGUAAAGGUGAGGCAAAUUCAAUAAUUUGGUUAGAAAAUCAAAAUAUAAAAAAUUAGCAUGAUGAAAAUGAAAAACGUAAAAAACUUGUGAGCGUCAGCUGUACUCACCAUUCCAAAAACCUUCUCAGCGUGAGCAUUAACACUAGGGUUAUCUUGAGGUACCUCAUUCGAGUCCUUUAGAAAAGAAAACAUGCCUUUUGCUGCAGGUGCUUUAUCCAAUAUACUAUUUUAAUAAAAUCAAUUAGAGAUACUCAUGUUUAAACCAUCACUUGCUAAACAUAAUAGACAACAAAUAUAUAUAUAGUCACACAAAAUGAAUACAUAUACCGAGGUCAAACUUACAAGGUGUAGAACAAAACACUAUAGAAAGGAAGGUUUUGAUUGAAGGUUUCCCAUGAGCUACUAACCAAAGCCUCUUGUCUCUCAGUGAAACCCAUAUUUCUCUUUUUUCUCCUUCUUUUAAUUUGAAUUGGAGUUUUU